UACCUGGGGUGCAAACGUUGCUCGGAAUCAUUGGGCGUAAAGCGCGCGUAGGCGGUUACUUAAGUCGAAUGUGAAAGCCCUCGGCUUAACUGAGGAAGUGCAUCCGAAACUGAGUAGCUAGAGUACGAAAGAGGGUCGCGGAAUUCCCGGUGUAGAGGUGAAAUUCGUAGAUAUCGGGAGGAACACCGGUGGCGAAGGCGGCGACCUGGGUCGAGACUGACGCUGAGGCGCGAAAGCGUGGGGAGCGAACAGG
rnacentral:rRNA from 1 species